AGUGAACGCUGGCGGUAGGCCUAACACAUGCAAGUCGAACGGCAGCACAGUAAGAGCUUGCUCUUACGGGUGGCGAGUGGCGGACGGGUGAGGAAUACAUCGGAAUCUACUUUUUCGGGGGGGAUAACGUAGGGAAACUUACGCUAAUACCGCAUACGACCUACGGGUGAAAGCAGGGGAUCUUCGGACCUUGCGCGAAUGAAUGAGCCGAUGUCGGAUUAGCUAGUUGGCGGGGUAAAGGCCCACCAAGGCGACGAUCCGUAGCUGGUCUGAGAGGCUGGUCAGCCACCCUGGAACUGAGCCACGGUCCAGACUCCUACGGGAGGCAGCAGUGGGGAAUAUUGGACAAUGGGCGCAAGCCUGAUCCAGCCAUACCGCGUGGGUGAAGAAGGCCUUCGGGUUGUAAAGCCCUUUUGUUGGGAAAGAAAAGCAGCAGGUUAAUACCCCGCUGUUCUGACGGUACCCAAAGAAUAAGCACCGGCUAACUUCGUG
rnacentral:rRNA from 1 species